rnacentral:rRNA from 1 species
CGGACGGGUGAGUAACGCGUGGGGAACCGUGCCCUGUACCGGGGGAGUAGCAGCCGGAAACGGACUGAUAAUACCGCAUAAGCGCACGAAUGUCGCAUGACAUGGUGUGAAAAAACUCCGGUGGUAUAGGAUGGACCCGCGUCUGAUUAGCCGGUUGGUGGGGUAAAAGCCUACCAAAGCGAAGAUCAGUAGCCGAGUUGAGAGACUGACCGGCCACAUUGGGACUGAGACACGGCCCAGACUCCUACGGGAGGCAGCAGCG